CCAGACUCCUACGGGAGGCAGCAGUAGGGAAUAUUGCUCAAUGGGGGAAACCCUGAAGCAGCAACGCCGCGUGGAGGAUGAAGGUUUUAGGAUUGUAAACUCCUUUUGUUAGAGAAGAUUAUGACGGUAUCUAACGAAUAAGCACCGGCUAACUCCGUGCCAGCAGCCGCGGUAAUACGGAGGGUGCAAGCGUUACUCGGAAUCACUGGGCGUAAAGAGUGCGUAGGCGGGGUAAUAAGUCAGAUGUGAAAUCCUGUAGCUUAACUACAGAACUGCAUUUGAAACUGUUACUCUGGAGUGUGGGAGAGGUAGGUGGAAUUCUUGGUGUAGGGGUAAAAUCCGUAGAGAUCAAGAGGAAUACUCAUUGCGAAGGCGACCUGCUGGAACAUUACUGACGCUGAUGCACGAAAGCGUGGGGAGCAAACAGGAUUAGAUACCCGAGUA
rnacentral:rRNA from 1 species